CCUACGGGGGGCAGCAGUGAGGAAUAUUGGUCAAUGGGCGCGAGCCUGAACCAGCCAAGUAGCGUGAAGGAUGACUGCCCUACGGGUGGUAAACUUCUUUUAUAAAGGAAUAAAGUGAGGCACGUGUGCCUUUUUGUAGGUACUUUAUGAAUAAGGAACGGCUAACCUCGUGCCAGCAGCCGCGGUAAUACGGUGGAUCCGAGGGUUUUCCCGAUUUGUUGGGUUUGAAGGGAGCGUAGAGGGGUUGUUAAGUUAGUUGUGAAAGUUUGGGGGUCCACCGGAAAAUUGCAAUUGAUACUGGCGGCAUUGAGUGCAGUUGAGGUAGGCGGAAUUCGUGGUGUAGCGGUGAAAUGCUUAGAUAUCACGAAGAACUCCGAUUGCGAAGGCAGCCUACUAAACUGCCACUGACAUUGAUGCUCGAAAGUGUGGGUAUCAAACAGGAUUAGAUACCCGGGUAGUC
rnacentral:rRNA from 1 species